ACUACUGUCAAGAGGGAAGAAACUGUUUGAGUAUAAUACGCUCAUUCACUGACGGUACCUCUAGAGGAAGCACCGGCUAACUCCGUGCCAGCAGCCGCGGUAAUACGGAGGGUGCGAGCGUUAAUCGGAAUCACUGGGCGUAAAGCGUGCGUAGGCGGCGCUUCAAGUCAGACGUGAAAGCCCUCGGCUCAACCGAGGAAUUGCGUUUGAAACUGGGGUGCUAGAGUCUCGGAGAGGUUAGGGGAAUUCCAGGUGUAGGAGUGAAAUCCGUAGAUAUCUGGAGGAACACCGGUGGCGAAGGCGCCUAACUGGACGAGUACUGACGCUGAGGUACGAAAGCGUGGGGAGCAAACAGGAUUAGAUACCCUGGUAGUCCACGCUGUAAACGAUGGAUAUUAGGUGUCGGGUUUUAAAUUCGGUGCCGCAGUUAACGCG
rnacentral:rRNA from 1 species